rnacentral:lncRNA from 1 species
CGCACCGCGGCUCGUGCCAGAAUGAAGAUGGCUUCCUGUCCCGCUAGCGUCACGUCGGGAUCUGCCUUCACCAAGGCCUUCACUCGCGCCAGAGGCAACCUCGAGAGACGAGCCCCAGGCACACUCGUUGGGGCCUGGGGCUGCGAGGCCGCUGCCUCCCCAGCAGGUAAAUAACAUCUUUGUGUGGCGUGUUGCAGCUGUCACAGCCGCCAGCAGACAGCCGACUCCCUCACCAGUAAACACCGCGGCUUAGGUGUUGCCCACCGGGCACCGGAAGGCGGCCCCCUUCUCGCUCUCCAGUGAAUGUUCCUAAAACAACUGCGGGGUCCAAGAGCACAGGGAGAACAGCGCCCCUGACGCAGGCUGCGCACCCGCCCGGAGGAGGCAGUGCGUCAGUCCUGAGGUCACCGCCACCCGCUCCCGGGGGACGGCCGCCUGGGCAGGUGAGGAGGCGACCACCUCCCAGACGCCUGCCGGAGCUGCGGCGCACCGACUCCCUGCUUCUCCGAGCGGCGAGCGCCACCUGGAGGCUCCCUCGAGAUCUGCAUUUAGGAGGCGACGGGUCCUUUCAUCGUUUUAUUCAUUAAACAUUUAUCGAGGCCUGGAGCGAUGGUUCAAGCCUGUAAUCCCAGCACUUUGGGAGACCGAGACGGGCGGAUCACUUGAGGUCAGGAGUUGGAGACCAGCCUGGCCAACAUGGCGAAACCCCAUCUCUACUAAAAAUACAAAAAUUAGCCGGGCACGGUGGCGCACACCUGUAAUCCCAGCUACUCAUGAUGAGGCUGAGGCACAAGAAUCGCUUGAACCCGAGAGGCGGAAGUUGCAGUGAGCGGAGAUGGAGCCACUGUGUGUUAGGCUCUGGCGACGUGGGGAGAAAUAAAGAUAAUGUCUUGUUUCCCAGGGCAUUAAUAGCGUGAUGGGGAAGACAGGCCAUCAACAAUGUGCAACACUAAGGGCUAGGAAAGAGGUGGAUACAAAGGAGGGAAUAAGGAAUGUGGUCAUUCCUUAAGGUGUUUAUUGGUGCCAGGUACUGUUCAAGGCACCAAAAAGAAUGGAACCAAACAGAGAUCCUGCUCCCAAAGAGCUCAUAGUGGAAGGACAGCCAGACAAGCUUAGAAUUACGGGACAGGCCUAAGAAGGAGCCAGACUGGGGACCAGAGGCGUCCGAAGGGAAGUCCAGGAAGUACCGCAGGAAAACGUGAUAUAUAUUAAAUCUUAAAGAAUGGGCAGGAUUUUGCCAGGCUUAGUGACAAGAUAUCUUCCGUAAAAUCGUGGAACUGAAAAGAAAGGAUAUAGGUUGAAGAAGGGCUAGUUCUGUGUCUGAAAUAGAAGGAACAUGAAAGAGAAGUGCUGGGACAUGGGGCAAAAAAGGGAGUUUGGGGCCAGAUCGUGAAAGCCUUGGUUUAACAGGUGAAAAGUUCAAAUUUGAUCCAGGUAGCUGGCAGAGUCAGAGGUUCUAAAGCAGAGACCUGCUCUAUAGAAAGCUCACCAUGAAGUACAGCAGUGAUGGUGGAUGAAGAUACCAACAGCUCAACCUCCUAUGUGCCAGGGAAAUGCUGAGCGCUUAGCACCUGAUAUUUAUCUUAAUUCUCUAAAUGGGCCUAUGGGGUAAGCAUAUUAUUAUCCCAAUUUUAUUGGAAUACUUCCCUGGUAGGGCCCCUAAACAGGUAGCCAUCAAAUGCCUGAUAAAUUCCAGCUAGCUUUAAAUUCUAGUCGCUACAGAGCAGAGCCCUUCCAUCGCACUGAGCUGAAGGAGCCAGAUGGGCAUUACAGACAAGACCCACUCAGUAGGUGAAAUCAACAGAGCCUAAUGACUAUCUAGAUCUGCAAGAUGAAGAAUAGGAAAGAGCUAAAGACAAGAUUAUGAUGAAAAGUUUGAUUUUGAAAUAAUACAUUUUUAAGAGCUGAGAAAAACCGUAUCCAUCAUCCAGAACAACCGCCUAUUCUACCCACACUCCCAGCACCACAUCAGUACACGUGUGCCUGUACUCACCAUUCUGCCUUGCCUCCUGCUGGCAUGGACGAGUGCUGCGUGUUCCUAAGUGCCACCUUCCGCUGUGCACUCGAUCCCAUCCUCGCGCCCACGCAAGAACAUCGCUUCAUCAAUUGGUCCUUCUCUCACAUAUGAAAUUUUUGGUCUUUCUACUGAGUCAUUCCCAUAAAUAUACAUGUGUACUACAAUUUCUCUCAUCGUAAAAAAUAAUAAAAAUAUUUCCUUGACCUCAAAUCUCAUACCCCUGCCAUUCAAUUACACCAAUCCUCUCCAAAAGAGUUAUUUAUACUCAAACUCCACUUUCUCUCCUCUCGUUCUUUCUUGAACCCACUUCAGUUUCAUUCUCACAACUUCACCACAAUUACUCUUCAGGUCCACAUUGCAAAUCCAACGGUCAGUUGAGAGUCCUCAUCUUAGAUGACCUGUCAGCAGACUUCCACACAGUUGAGCCUAUUCACUCAAGUGCCUAAGGCUAUGCACAUUCUUCUCUACUGACACUCACUUCCUCGUGAUCCUGCCUGGCCUCACGUUUACAACUCCGAAUAUAUUCUUUCCAGCCUGAACUCUCCUCUGAACUUCAGACCCAUACAUCCCCAACUGCUGACUCAAUAUCUGCACGUGGAUGCCUAAUGCGUUCAAACGUAGCAUGUCCAAAAGCAAAUUCCUAAUCCUCCCCCUUCAAACCUUUUGCUCCCAUUUGCUCCCACAGCCUUUUCCAUCUCAAUAAAUCAAAACUCUAAUCUUCCAGUUGUUCAGAAUAAAUGCUGUCAUCAUGUUAUCUGUAUUUGUCGAUAUAAAUUAGGUGAUGCUUCCGUAGCAAAGAACCCCAAAAACACCACAAAUGUUCAUGUUUUUGCUGAUGUCCAGGCUGAGUUGACAGGAGACUCUACUCAUCAGUUUCACUGAGGGACUAAGGCUGACGGAGGCUGUAUCUUGACAAAAUGUUUUC